rnacentral:rRNA from 1 species
AGAGUUUGAUUCGUGGCUCAGGAUGAACGCUGGCGGCGUGCUUAACACAUGCAAGUCGAACGAAGCUCUCUGAGCGGAGAUUUCGGUCAAAGUAAAGAGAUGACUUAGUGGCGGACGGGUGAGUAACGCGUGGGUAACCUGCCGUAUGCAGGGGGACAACAGCUGGAAACGGCUGCUAAUACCGCAUAAGCGCACGUGAAGGCAUCUUCAAGUGUGAAAAGAUUUUAUCGGCAUACGAUGGACCCGCGUCUGAUUAGGCAGUUGGCAGGGUAACGGCCUACCAAACCGACGAUCAGUAGCCGGCCUGAGAGGGUGAACGGCCACAUUGGGACUGAGACACGGCCCAAACUCCUACGGGAGGCAGCAGUGGGGAAUAUUGCACAAUGGGGAAACCCUGAUGCAGCGACGCCGCGUGAGUGAAGAAGUAUUUCGGUAUGUAAAGCUCUAUCAGCAGGGAAGAAAAUGACGGUACCUGACUAAGAAGCCCCGGCUAACUACGUGCCAGCAGCCGC